GGAUGUGAGGGUAGUCUGUCUGCAACGUCUUUCACCACAUUGAUCACCAGAGUUGAUUCAGCUGCUCUGGCUGGCUAGGUGGGUGUCCCCUUUCUCCCUCAAUGCUGUAUGUGUGUCUCUUCGGGAGUUGCAUUCUGGGUUGAAGAGGAUGACCAAAUUGAUAGGGGAGGAUCAUUCCUCGGUCAAGGGUGUAUGACUAGGUGCACUAACCUCGCUAAAAUCACCAACCAAGCUCUCAAAAUGGCUUUUUUCUUAGCACAAACACCUGAAAAUUGUCAACCAAAUAUAACAUCCAUCCUGUCCUCAUCCAUGUGUU
rnacentral:snRNA from 1 species